rnacentral:rRNA from 1 species
AUUGAACGCUGGCGGCAGGCUUAACACAUGCAAGUCGAGCGGAGAGAGGUAGCUUGCUACUGAUCUUAGCGGCGGACGGGUGAGUAAUGCUUAGGAAUCUGCCUAUUAGUGGGGGACAACAUUUCGAAAGGAAUGCUAAUACCGCAUACGUCCUACGGGAGAAAGCAGGGGAUCUUCGGACCUUGCGCUAAUAGAUGAGCCUAAGUCGGAUUAGCUAGUUGGUGGGGUAAAGGCCUACCAAGGCGACGAUCUGUAGCGGGUCUGAGAGGAUGAUCCGCCACACUGGGACUGGGACACGGCCCAGACUCCUACGGGAGGCAGCAGUGGGGAAUAUUGGACAAUGGGCGGAAGCCUGAGCCAGCCAUGCCGCGUGUGUGAAGAAGGCCUUUUGGUUGUAAAGCACUUUAAGCGAGGAGGAGGCUACUAGUACUAAUACUACUGGAUAGUGGACGUUACUCGCAGAAUAAGCACCGGCUAACUCUGUGCCAGCAGCCGCCGUAACAC